rnacentral:rRNA from 1 species
UACGAAGGGGGGCUAGCGUUGCUCGGAAUCACUGGGCGUAAAGCGCACGUAGGCGGAUCUUUAAGUCAGGGGUGAAAUCCUGGAGCUCAACUCCAGAACUGCCUUUGAUACUGAAGAUCUUGAGUUCGGGAGAGGUGAGUGGAACUGCGAGUGUAGAGGUGAAAUUCGUAGAUAUUCGCAAGAACACCAGUGGCGAAGGCGGCUCACUGGCCCGAUACUGACGCUGAGGCACGAAAGCGUGGGGAGCAAACAGGG